GGGGGAAUAGGUAAAGGGGUAGCUGCUAACUAAUUCCUUAAGCGGUUCAAUUCCGUUUUUCCCUUU
rnacentral:tRNA from 1 species